AACGUAGGUGGCGAGCGUUAUCCGGAAUCACUGGGCGUAAAGCGUGUGCAGGCGGGCUAGCAAGUGGUGUUUGAAAGCUCCCGGCUCAACCGGGAAGGGUUAUGCCAGACUGCUAGUCUUGAGUGCGAGAGAGGAGCGUGGAAUUCCGGGUGUAGUGGUGAAAUGCGUAGAGAUCCGGAGGAACCCCAGAGGCGAAGGCGGCGCUCUGGCUCGCAACUGACGCUCAGACACGACAGCAUGGGGAGCGAACGGG
rnacentral:rRNA from 1 species